rnacentral:rRNA from 1 species
AUUGAACGCUGGCGGCAUGCCUUACACAUGCAAGUCGAACGGCAGCACGGGAGCAAUCCUGGUGGCGAGUGGCGAACGGGUGAGUAAUAUAUCGGAACGUGCCCAGUGAUGGGGGAUAGCCCGGCGAAAGCCGGAUUAAUACCGCAUACGACCUACGGGUGAAAGCAGGGGAUCGCAAGACCUUGCGUCAUUGGAGCGGCCGAUAUCAGAUUAGCUUGNGGUGGGGUAAAGCCUACCAAGGCGACGAUCUGUAGCUGGUCUGAGAGGACGACCAGCCACACUGGGACUGAGACACGGCCCAGACUCCUACGGGAGGCAGCAGUGGGGAAUUCUGGACAAUGGGCGCAAGCCUGAUCCAGCCAUGCCGCGUGCGGGAAGAAGGCC